rnacentral:rRNA from 1 species
CUGCAGCCCGAGUGGUGAUCGAUUUUAUUGAGCCUAAAGCGUUCGUAGCCGGACUAGUAAACCCUUGGGUAAAUUGGGCAGCUUAACUGUCCAAAUUCCGAGGGGACUGCUAGUCUUGGGACCGGGAGAGGUCAGAGGUACUCAAGGGGUAGGGGCUAAAUCCUGUAAUCCUUUGGGGACCACCAGUGGCGAAGGCGUCUGACUAGAACGGAUCCGACGGUAAGGGACGAAACCCUGGGGCGCGAACCGGAUUAGAUACCCGAGUAGUCC